rnacentral:lncRNA from 1 species
CCUCUGAUAGCUGCAGGGGAAAAUAUUUAAAUUUAUCAUAGGUUUUAUGCUGAUAAAUUGUGGUUCCUUUGCACAGGGUCCUCCCUCUUUAAUGCCUAUUCAUAUUUUCUGAUGAAAAACAUGAAUGGAGUUUGACUUGAAUCAAGACAGGAAAUUCUUCAAUAAAGUAAAAUAAUGGCCAGGGUCGCUUGGUACCAGCUGGAAGGUGGGACAGGAGUGAGGUCCUGAACAUUUUUCACCUUCUCCAAUGCUGAUGACCCGUGUUUCAAGUGGACCUGACUGGGCAUGGAGAUUGUUCCGUUUCCUUUUUGCUUGUGCAGAGCAGUUGGUUCAUAGCUUCUUUGCAAGAAGACUCACAUUUGCUUUCAGUCCCCCACCAGUCUCUGACCCGCUUCUGUUUGGCUGCCAUUUGGUAAUUGCCUUGCCUCUGCUACUGCUCGUGUCCUGAGACCAUAUCACUGAUCGACUGUAAAGUGAGUAUGUUCACCUACAGAAAAUACCAUGUGCCACUCUGUUGUACAGCGCAGAAGGACAACAGACUUCUGGUAACUUUUCCACUUCUCAAGACCCUUUUUAAAAAAGGUAACUGAAAAUCAGGCCCUAAUGUGCCUAUCUUAUAUGUGUGACCUGGUUUAUGAAGGCACUGGGCAUCCAAAGUUGUGUAUUAGCAUCAACUGAAGGAAUAAAAAC